CAUUAGAUACCCCGGUAGUCCCAGCCGUAAACUAUGCGCGUUAGGUGUAUCGGUGACCACGAGUUACCGAGGUGCCGAAGGGAAACCGUGAAACGUGCCGCCUGGGAAGUACGGUCGCAAGGCUGAAACUUAAGGAAUUGGCGGGGAGCACCACAACAGGUGGAGCCUGCGGUUUAAUUGGACUCAACGCCGGGAAGCUCACCGGAUAGGACAGCAGAAUGAUUGCCGGGCUGAAGACCCUGCAUGACUAGCUG
rnacentral:rRNA from 1 species